rnacentral:rRNA from 1 species
UACGAAGGGGGCUAGCGUUGCUCGGAAUGACUGGGCGUAAAGGGCGCGUAGGCGGCGGCCACAGUCAGAUGUGAAAUUCCUGGGCUUAACCCGGGGGCUGCAUUUGAUACGUGGUUGCUUGAGUGGGGAAGAGGGUCGUGGAAUUCCCAGUGUAGAGGUGAAAUUCGUAGAUAUUGGGAAGAACACCGGUGGCGAAGGCGGCGACCUGGUCCUUGACUGACGCUGAGGCGCGAAAGCGUGGGGAUCAAACAGG